rnacentral:lncRNA from 10 species
CUGGUCUUACAGAUAAGUUCACAAGCAGCUGGUUCUCUCUUGUGGAUACAUGGGACCACAGUGGCUGUAGCUAGUUUCCUAAGACUCCAUCUGCCUUAUCUGCCAGAUCCUUCCUUUGCCACACACACACACACAGUGUCUCUCUCUCUCUCCCUCCCUCUCUCAUACACACACAACCAAAUGCUUCAUUCUUCACCUAGUCAGAAACCUGGGGAGCCCCCAGGAGAGCUCUGUCCCUGAUUGCCACCUGCCAACCUGCCAGUCUUCUUGGCUUGAGGCAUCUCAGUGCUCCAGUGCUCAGCUCACCUUGCCAGCUUUCCUGUAGCCUGAUUGGGUCCUGGUCAUACUCAUCUGUUGCCACUAUUUCAUCAGUUUCGGCCUCCAUGCCCCAAAAUGUGGGAUCCUUUUUUUUUUUUUUUUAGAUGGAGUUUCACUCUUGUUGCCCAGGCUGGAGUGCAAUGGUGUGAUCUCGGCUCACUGCAACCUCUGCCUCCUGGAUUCAAGCGAUUCUCCUGCCUCAGCCUCCCGGGUAGCUGGGAUUACAGGAGCCUACCACCGUGCCUGGCUAAUUUUUUCAUUUUUAGUAGAGAUGGGGUUUCACCAUGUUGGCCAGGCUGGUCUCAAACUCCCGACCUCAGGUGAUCCACCCGCCUCAGCCUCCCAAAGUGCUGGGAUUACAGGCGUGAGCCACCAUACCUGGCUGGGAUCCUCUGAAUUGUAUUUUUUUUUUUUAAGUAAAGAUGGGGUUUCACCAUGUUGGCCAGGCUGGUCUUGAACUCCGGACCUCAAGUGAUCCACCUUGCUCAGCCUCCCAGAAUGCUGGGAUUACAGGCAUGAGCCACUGCACCUGCUCAGUCCCCUUAAUUGUGAUUUACUUUAAUAUAGUUUCAUUUAUAGUGGUGGCCCCUUUAAUAUAGUUUAUCAUUUCUUACAGUUGAAGAGUCCAGUGUUAACUGAACAGGCAGAAAACUACACAUUUCUCUAAAUCAGCACCUUAAUUUAUAAAGUCUCAUGUUGGAAAUGAAGAGAAUUGUGUUGUUUCUUGGCUUUUAAGACUUGGAAAAUAUCUUAAAUGGCCUCUCUCCAUUUAGGACAAACAAUAAAAACUUGCCUGGAAUAAUCUUCGAACAGAAGGUAUGAGAUAAGUAGUAAGUAAACGUCCACAGGACUCCAAAUAGCUCUAAAGAUCUGAUUCCCCUAGGAGACUUGCUGAGGGAAAAUCUAGGAACUAAGAUACUGCAAAAUGGAAAUAGACCUUCUUGGUUGACCGAGGCUCUAGGGUGAAGCCUGUGAGUCAGUGUCUGCACCUUUGGAAAUAGAGGAAAUUAGCUCAACAGGGCUUGGGGCAUGUAGGUAUCUGCCAAAUAUUUUAUAUGAAUUGAAUUUGGACUCAAUUUUUGGUAUGUAUAAUAUGUAACAUGAAGAGAAAAUUUACCAGGGGAACUGGAAAAUGCACUUAACUUUUAUGGAGGUGAGAACAAAAACUGAAUUAAAAUCUUUCCCUGACUUGGUGUUUCCUGUGUAUGCUCAUGCAUGCUAGCUAUAAUUUUGUCAUUUCUGUACUGUGAUAAUUCAUAAUUCAUAUUUACAUGCUUAAGGUGGGGCCUAAUACAGGGCAGGGCGUUAUUUACACUGUAGGGUAGGCAUUGAGCAGAAGUGGUGUGAUAUUUUUUCUGUUCAUUUUUCUAGAUUGGGGAAAGUUUAAAUUGAAAUUAUUGGCAUCACUGAUGAUAAUUAAGAACUGUUUAAAUUCCAUUUCUGGCGAAUUCCUGAAGGAUAUAUAAUCAGGAACUCUAGGGAAACCUGAAGGGCUGAGCUGGAGGGUCUAGAAUUGGGGCCUUAACCUGGGAGUCCAAAAACUUUGCCAAACACUUAUUUCCACCUUCCACUCCUCCUCCCGUGCCCACCCUCACAGAGCAGUACUUGGCACCCUAGACAAAUACUGCCAGAUCUACAGACAUCUAAUGUCUGCAGAUACCCACUCCCUGCCUAGCCUCCCUAAUCACAUAAGACUGGGACAUCUUCGAAGGCAAGGAUACCCCUUGUUCUUACUCAUCCUUGUUUCUGCAAAGCCCACCUACCUCAGGGCCUGACUCAUUGUGGGUCAUUCAGUAGAUGUUUGCUGAAUGAAUAAACAUUGUUUGUCUUUUGUUCUUUUAAUGAGUAACUGCUGUUUCCUUUGCACCCCUCCCCAAUACAUUUUUCUCUUGGCUGGCAGCUCCUUGUCUGCUUGCUGAAGAUAGAACCGCAGACCACCUGAGCACCCCCUGCCUCCUCAGCUGCUCACUGUUCUUCUGCAUGUGGCCUUCAGGACCUCUGCCCAGCAGUUGUGGCCCAUGUCACCCUCUCUGCUGUUGUCACCAGAAAUUUACCCGCACUGUACCCUCUGGUCCUUCACAGCUCAUUUCUCAUAAUCUAUUUUAACAACAAAGUUUGAGAAGGUUAAGAAUACAGGAUGGUAGGAGGUGGAAAAAACAGUGGGCGUGAGCAGUAAGUCGAUAUGACUAAGCUGAGACUCUUCUGAGUCUUCUAGAUGGAAGGGGAAUUUCUCCAGAGUUACGGGCAGUUACCACGUUGCCUCAUGGUCUUGAGCCCCUCUUUUAAAACCCCUGUUGUCUACAUUAAGCGGAAGUCUCCCCUUGGCUGCAUUUUGAUGUCACUUAAAAUGUUGCUGGGGCCCAUGCUUCCUAGAGGAAGGCAAGCACAGCUAGCAUUCCCAGGAAAGCCCUCAACUCAGGGGUUUCAUUUUGUUUUUAUGAUGGGAAAUAACUUUCAUUUCGCGGUCACUGCCCACCCCACUACUUCCUCUUUGACCCCUUCAUCUAAGAUGAACACAUCUGUUAUUUUACCCUGUAUAGCAGGUGCAAAAGAGAAUUAAAAUGGUGUCUGAAUCCAUAAAAGGAAUAUAUUGCAUAGAGAAUCAAGGCCACAGUAACAAGUGACAGGCGAUCUUAAAAUAUUGGAAUAAUCUAUCUUUCAAGUUACAGAAGCUUACUAGAGAUAGGGGCAGGUCAUUGUUACAAGCAUCUGGCAGUACAUUAAUCAUGAGAAAUUAAUUAGGCCUUAAUGUGGGUCUAAUGAGAAAUCCUUAUUAUCCAUGUUUGCUUAUGGGCUUUGUUGGUUAAUUAUCAAAUGGAACACUAGAGACCCUAAAAUGUGAUUAUAAAAUGAUUUUUAAAAGUCCUUUCUUGGAGUGUAAUAUUCUAUUAAUGAAUCAGCAGAAACUGAAGAUUAUCUGCUUUGGAGAUGUGUAACAAUCCAAUGUAAUUACAAACCUGUUUAGAGAGGAACCAUUUAGCUAUAUAUGAUCAAAAUAGCCCUUAUAACUGUUCUCUGUGUAUGUGUCUUUUAUCUUAGUUUUCUGUGUUCCUGGGAAUUAUUUUCUUCCUGGAGCUCACUGCCGGAGUUCUAGCAUUUGUUUUCAAAGACUGGAUCAAAGACCAGCUGUAUUUCUUUAUAAACAACAACAUCAGAGCAUAUCGGGAUGACAUUGAUUUGCAAAACCUCAUAGACUUCACCCAGGAAUAUUGGCAGUGCUGUGGGGCUUUUGGAGCUGAUGAUUGGAACCUAAAUAUUUACUUCAAUUGCACAGAUUCCAAUGCAAGUCGAGAGCGAUGUGGCGUUCCAUUCUCCUGCUGCACUAAAGAUCCCGCAGAAGAUGUCAUCAACACUCAGUGUGGCUAUGAUGCCAGGCAAAAACCAGAAGUUGACCAGCAGAUUGUAAUCUACACGAAAGGCUGUGUGCCCCAGUUUGAGAAGUGGUUGCAGGACAAUUUAACCAUCGUUGCUGGUAUUUUCAUAGGCAUUGCAUUGCUGCAGAUAUUUGGGAUAUGCCUGGCCCAGAAUUUGGUUAGCGAUAUCGAAGCUGUCAGGGCGAGCUGGUAGACCCCCUGCAACCGCUGCUGCAAGACACUGGACAGACCCAGCUUUCGGGACCCUCCCGCGUGCCGAACUGAUCUUCGAGCUGCAUGGACCUAAUCACAGAUGCAGCCUGCAGUCUCGCCUAAUGGAGCUGCCAUUAGGGGAGUGUAAAACUGGGAAAUGCUGCUCACUGACAGAAUU